rnacentral:rRNA from 1 species
UGGGGAAUAUUGGACCAUGGGCGCAAGCCUGAUCCAGCCAUGCCGCGUGAGUGAUGAAGGCCCUAGGGUUGUAAAGCUCUUUCACCGGUGAAGAUAAUGACGGUAACCGGAGAAGAAGGCCCUGCUAACUUCGUGCCAGCAGCCGCGGUAAUACGAAGGGGGCUAGCGUUGUUCGGAUUUACUGGGCGUAAAGCGAACGUAGGCGGACUUUUAAGUCAGGGGUGAAAUCCCGGGGCUCAACCCCGGAACUGCCUUUGAUACUGGAAGUCUUGAGUAUGGUAGAGGUGAGUGGAAUUCCCAGUGUAGAGGUGAAAUUCGUGGAUAUUCGGAGGAACACCAGUGGCGAAGGCGGCUCACUGGACCAUUACUGACGCUGAGGUGCGAAAGCGUGGGGAGCAAACAGG